CUGUUUUCUGCCCUACAAACUAGGAUGUCUUCCAAAAUCUUUGUCAGCCUGGGCAUGGGAGAGAAGAACAAUUUCCUUUAAAGCAGUGAUUGGCAAGCUGCUUAGGUCUAAAGUGUAUCUAUAUUCCUGGGAUAAGCUGUUUGUACAGGGCAGGCCUCUGGCCACUUUAUACAUAUCUAGGCAUGUGAGGUAACCUGGUCUCUGUGACAUAAAGAGUCCUCUGUGAGGUGACCAGACUUCUGUGAGGUAAUCAGGCUUCUGUAAGGUGAUCAGUUCUUUCUGUGGGGACUCAGCAUCUAUGAAGUGACCAGUGCUCUGUAAGGUGGAGGCGUACCUUCUUUCCCAGCUGCCAUUCUGUUCCAUGGAUGAUGCUGGCAAGUCCCAAACCCUCUCCAGCUAUCAAGAUGAACACCUUGCAGAAGAAAGAAGUCUGCCGCAGAGAAAGACGACUGGACGGGGCAGCUGGGAAGGGUUCUUACCACCAAGCCUGAGGCCCAAGUUUGAUCCCUAAAGCUCACACAGCAAAAGGAGUGGAACGGCUCCUGAAAGCUACCCUCUGACCUCUAUCUUAUGUCUCCUUCACAAAGAAACAAAUCAAGAUAAAUAAAUAAAUGUAUGCA
rnacentral:lncRNA from 1 species